AUUGGCUUUCAGGUCGGUUUAAUAUUGGGAAGGAGAUCGUAUUGGGUCAGUCUCUAGUCAUAACAAACCACUCACUUAUGGUUUGAAUAAUUUGCAGUUGCUGUUAUUAAAUAUCACCUGUGUGAUUGCAGACUUUGAGCCCUGGCAGGAAGUUUGGAGUGCUGCUAGUCUAGUAAUCUUCAACCAGGAAGCUUACGGGUGGAUUUCAAGGGCCAGGCAAUCCCCCUGGGAUUCUAUAUAAAAUUUCAGUCAUAUUUAUUGUAUGUAUUUUUAGAGUAAAAGGGUUUGUGGCUUUUGUCAGGUUUUCAAAUCGACUGCUUGAUCCCAAAAUGUUAAAGGGGCUAAUCCUUUCAUUUCCUGGAUGGAGAAACCUUACACCCUGAGAUACUGACCCACCGUAGCAGAGCUGGCCGAAGACAAAGCAGGAUCUCCUCGUUGUACAUUAACCGUGUAGGAAUCCAAGAGGUCAGGAACCACCAGCCGUAUUAUUUUUCUCCCUGGCUGCCUGCCUUCAUUUGUAACCCCUCCUCAUUCAUGGGAAUGAAGAAAAGGUGGGUUGAAAAUAAAAAGCUUGUUCUAGCCUACUUUUUCCUUUACGAAACUUGUCAGAAACAAAGCUUUGCCGUGAAAGAGACGGAAUCCCUUCUGGUAGCUGGCUUUUCCUGCUGGCAGCACAAAGAUAUUUU
rnacentral:lncRNA from 1 species